rnacentral:rRNA from 1 species
UACGUAGGGGGCAAGCGUUGUCCGGAUUUAUUGGGCGUAAAGAGCGUGUAGGCGGUCAGGUAGGUCGGUUGUGAAAACUGGAGGCUCAACCUUCAGAGGUCGACCGAAACCAUCUGGCUAGAGUCCGGGAGAGGAGAGUGGAAUUCCUGGUGUAGAGGUGAAAUUCGUAGAUAUUCGCAAGAACACCAGUGGCGAAGGCGGCUCACUGGCCCGGAACUGACGCUGAGGUGCGAAAGCGUGGGGAGCAAACAGGG